GACGAACGCUGGCGGCGUGCUUAACACAUGCAAGUCGAGCGGACAGACCCUGCGUUUGUGGCGUGCUCGAUUGCCGCACGGGUGAGUAACACGUGAGUAUCAUGCCCCUGUCAUUCUGGGAACUUCACGGGACUGGGGCUCAUAUACGGUAGGAUAUCCUGCACCACGGUGGGGGUUGGAGAGUUUCGGCGGUUGUGGAUGGACUCGCGGCUUAUCCGCUUGAUGGUGUGGUAGUGGCUUACCAAGGUUUUGACGGGUAGGCGGCCUGAGAGGGGUACCGGCCACAUUGGGACUGAGAUACGGCCCAGACGCCUACGGGAGGCAGCAGUCGGGAACAUGGCACAACGGGCGGAAGCGUGAGGCAGCAACGCCGCGUGCGGGAUGGUGUGCUUCGGGUGGUAAACCGCUGUCUCCGGUGACGAAGCGUGAGUGACGGUAAUGGGUAAAGAAGCACCGGCUAACUACGUG
rnacentral:rRNA from 1 species